CGCAGUGGUUAACGAAUCCAACUAGGAACUAUGAGGUUGCAGGUUCGGUCCCUGCCCUUGCUCAGUGGGUUAACGAUCUGGCAUUGCCGUGAGCUGUGGUGUAGGUUGCAGACGCGGCUCUGAUCCCGCAUUGCUGUGGCUCUGGCGUAGGCCGGCGGCUACAGCUCUGAUUCGACCCCUAGCCUGGGAACCUCCAUAUGCCACGGGAGCGGCCCAAGAAAUAGCAAAAGGACAAAAAAACAAAAACAAAAAAAAACUAUGUCCUGAAAAUUAAAUACCUUUUAGUGUGUUUUGCCUUUGGGAUGCAACACUUCCCUCCAAUUGUUCAAACAAAUUCUUUAAAUGAAUGCAUUGUAAAUGGUACAGGGUUUUUGGUUUUGUUUGAAAAGGAGAAAGAGGGAAAUGUAGACAUUGCUUAUUUCCAAAUACCUUGUAUAGUCUAAGGAAGUGGUGUCAGCAUUCCCUUUGUUCUUAUUUUAGUCAGUUCUACUUAAAAAGAACUCAGAGAUAAGAAAUGAAAAUGGAAAGCACAAAAAGGAAACCAUUGGGGUGGGUUCCCCUUUUGAUUUCAGACUAAUUUCCUGAGAAUGUGAAGCUAAUAGUCACAUGAGAAGGCAAGUGUGAUACUUCAUUUCUAUUUUGUUAACUAAGGUAACCAAAUAACCUUUUUUUUUUUCUAUGAGUAACUACAGCAGUUUAAUGAAAUCAGGGAGAUGUGGCACCUUGGAAGAAAGGAGUUCGGUAUUAAAAUCUCAGGUUUUUUUAUAGAUACGGACCCAAGGAGCAGAAAAAAAGGAGUGAGGUUUAUGUGGAGUGAGGCUGACCUAUCCUACUUGAUCAAAGUUAAGUUUCAUGAGCAAUCCAGGGCUUAUAGAGACAAUUCACAACAAGUAGCUAGACCUCACACAUUUGGAAAGGUAAGUUUUAAUUUUCUUAAAAUUUAUAUAAUUGUAUAAAAUAAGUGUGUUUAUAAUAAAGAAAAUUUUAUUUUAAAGUAUUUUUUGGAG
rnacentral:lncRNA from 1 species